rnacentral:rRNA from 1 species
AUUGAACGCUGGCGGCAGGCCUAACACAUGCAAGUCGAGCGGAUGAAGGGAGCUUGCUCCUGGAUUCAGCGGCGGACGGGUGAGUAAUGCCUAGGAAUCUGCCUGGUAGUGGGGGAUAACGUCCGGAAACGGGCGCUAAUACCGCAUCCGUCCUGAGGGAGAAAGUGGGGGAUCUUCGGACCUCACGCUAUCAGAUGAGCCUAGGUCGGAUUAGCUAGUUGGUGGGGUAAAGGCCUACCAAGGCGACGAUCCGUAACUGGUCUGAGAGGAUGAUCAGUCACACUGGAACUGAGACACGGUCCAGACUCCUACGGGAGGCAGCAGUGGGGAAUAUUGGACGAUGGGGGAAAGCCUGAUCCAGCCAUGCCGCGUGUGUGAAGAAGGUCUUCGGAUUGUAAAGCACUUUAAGUUGGGAGGAAGGGCAGUAAGUUAAUACCUUGCUGUUUUGACGUUACCAACAGAAUAAGCACCGGCUAACUUCGUG